UGGAGCGACAGUCGAAGGACUCUGUCACCCUGUCUUGGUCUUCAGGACGUCACCAGGUCCGUGUGUGGCAGUUCCCUUUCCGACUGGAGAUCCUGUGUGAAGACAAAGUGAUGGUUACAUUCAACUCGAAGGGAAAACUGUGGUUUGAGACGCUGCAGGAUCCGCCAGGGGCCUCAUCUCGAGAUAGCGAGCUUCAAGAGGACACGAGUUCGUUGUGGAGGGAAACUUUCAGGGAUUUUGUGGAUGUCAAAGCUAACGGUUUGUUUCUGUCAUUUUACUGAUUUGUACUGAUAUUUGUCUCUGACUCUGAUCUGUUUUUUUC